AAGUCGUAACAAGGUUUCCGUAGGUGAACCUGCGGAAGGAUCAUUAACACGUAUCCAACGUUAAACAACCCUGUGAACUUUCAACCGCUCUUGUAGCCCAGGCGGAACAGCAAUCCCGGUAAAUCAACGUGGCGGAAAAUAGUUUGAUUCGGGACCUCUGUCCAAAAGGUAUCAAGUUACAAUCGAGCUAGGAGCAGUGGCAUGGUUUCCCGAAGCAGUGCCGAAGGAUGCACUGAGUACGGAUAACGCUUUACGGUUGCUAGAGGUCGAUCACCGGCCUCCGCGGGGCGUGAUUAGGCAAGGGGUGAAUGAAGGGGCAUAUAGCCCUGUGACAUGACUGCCAACGCCGGGCACUAAAAACCGAACAACUGUUAACAAUGGAUAUCUUGGUUCUC
rnacentral:misc_RNA from 1 species